UGUGAAUAUUAUAAUAUGAUUUUAAAUUGUAUAAAAACUAUUUACUCGAAUUAUGUUUUAUUUUUGCUCAUAAAAUAUUGAAUUUCUAAACUUAAAUUAUAAAUAAAAAAAUCAUUAUUUUUUCUUAUCUGAAGGAUGAUUUUAAAUUUUUAUAAAAUUUUUGACAUCAUUGGAAAUUAUAAUAUUUUAUUAUGUAUAUAGAACACAAUAUAUAUUUUUAAAAUGUUAUUAAAAUCGUUGGCAAGUGAUGUAGAUUAUUGAUGUUGAUAUCACGAAACGAUAAAAUAAAAAGUCCUACAGUAUUAAGCAUCUUCGGUUCUGCAACACAACUGCUGUCUUCGUCGGUGGACAUUAUUACGUUGAGAGAAUCAUCACCAUCAAUCCUUGCUAUGUAUCCAAGCUGUCAACAUCUUAUAAAGAAUCGACCGUUAAAUGUAGAACAAGUUGGGAUCCAGGAGGAUUCCGUUAUUAAAGAUGCCGAUAUUAUUUGUGACCUUCCCGUCAAAUUCCCCAAGUCCAUCACUAUCACUACCAGUACCC
rnacentral:lncRNA from 1 species